GAUAAUUAUACUGAAACUUGAUUAGUGAUACGAUCUAGUUAACAAACAAAUACGUCAGAGAGCUGGGUGUGGCUGUUAUCCCCGAGUUGUGACAGAAGUUUCUCACCCCCACUGGAGGCACAGCAUCAUGUGUGGCUUUCCUUCUCUUGUUUGAAGGCUGGAGGAAAUCCUAAAGGGGCUUUUCAGUUCUGCCAAAGGAUUGUGCUGUUUCUUUCUCAUGGCAACCAGGCGAACUGGGGCUGCCGGUCCAGCCCAGCCAGCCCCCAAGGUGGAUGAGGCACCGGUAACCAAGGAGCCCUGGGCAACUGACCAGCAGUUGGUCUGUAGAGCAUACAGCCUGGAAUUUUCUUCGUGGAGCAAGUCUCCAGGUGUCUGCUGCCUGUAGUUCUGGGAUUUCCUUAUUCCUGAAGAACCUGGCAUUUGUGAGCUGGAGGGAAACUGGACCAGGAGACUCAUUGUGAUCAGUCCUUUCUGAUUGAAGGAGCCCAUGUUCCCAGGAGAAUGAACUCGGCAGUGGUGUUCAAGUGGUUCGAGUGGUUCUAAACAAGCUACUGGGACACAGGGCACUCCAUUUAAUGUCCCCUCAAGGUGAGAGGCCUCUCUGCAGAGGGCACCGAUGCCCCUGCCUCCAGACAGAGCACAUUAUGAUCUGAACCUUUGUUCUGCAAGCUGAUCUAGGCCACUGUGUUCCCAAGGUGGGGAUUCAGGGGUAUCAGUAACUCCCUUACCUAAUUAGAAGGGUCACGGGCUCACCAAAUGACCUUAUCACUCUUAAACUUGAUAUUUGG
rnacentral:lncRNA from 1 species